ensembl:lncRNA
CAACAGGCUCAGAGACCGUUUCUAUCUCCAAGCCAUUCAGACUGUAUCAGAGCAUGAGGUCCGAUACCAACAGGCUCAGAGACCGUUUCUAUCUCCAAGCCAUUCAGACUGUAUCAGAGCAUGAGGUCCGAUACCAACAGGCUCAGAGACCGUUUCUAUCUCCAAGCCCAUCAGACUGUAUCAGAGCAUGAGGUCCAAUACCAACAGGCUCAGAGACAGUUUCUAUCUCCAAGCCCAUCAGACAGCUGAACACUUUAACUGGACUGACCACCUGAUCUGAGUUUCCGCACCUUAGCACACAUCACAACUGCUGCUAUUAUACACUUGGCCCCCCAACCCCCUCUUCUCUAAUACACGUGUAAAUAUUGGACUGUAC